rnacentral:tRNA from 1 species
AGUCACUUAGCUAUAUAAGUAAGCGUUUUGAAAGCGUUGGAAAGGGUCUCUCU